rnacentral:lncRNA from 1 species
AGGAAAGGUUAGUAAAUGACUCAGCCAGAAGAAUCUGUACAUGUAUAGAUAAAAACCACAGGGUUGAAAUUUUAAGGGCAAGUAUUGUAAGCAGUGUCACAAAAGGCUUGGAAACAGGGUAGAAACGUCAGUCAAUUCCAAAACUGCAAUUCAUAUUACAUUGGAAAAUAUAAUAAAUUGGGCAAAUGCCAUGCAAAUAGAACUGUUGAUAAGCACAUUCCUAAAAGGUUUGUAGAGUGAUGUAGAUGUUAAUUUAAUUAGCAGUUUCAAAUCUGACAAUUUCUACCCCCAAAUUCUGGCCUGUCAAAAGUUAACAAUCAUCUUUCUUAAUCUAGCAAACUAAAUAUGACACUGAACAAUUUUGAAUGACACUAACUUUUCUGUAGGAAUGAUAUGAAGCAUGGCAUUUGAUUUUUUUUAUGUAAAAUAUGAAGGCACCCAAAAACAUGAAUGAUGCAUAAUAUGGAAAGAUGACACAAAAAUAAAAAUAUUAUUGGUGAAAUAAAAACUUUAGAGAAAUGUCA